rnacentral:rRNA from 1 species
GAUGAACGCUGGCGGCGUGCUUAACACAUGCAAGUCGAACGAAGAAGCUCAGCUUGCUGGGUGGAUUAGUGGCGAACGGGUGAGUAACACGUGAGUAACCUGCCCUUAACUCUGGGAUAAGCCUGGGAAACUAGGUCUAAUACCGGAUAGGAGCGCCUACCGCAUGGUGGGUGUUGGAAAGAUUUAUCGGUUUUGGAUGGACUCGCGGCCUAUCAGCUUGUUGGUGAGGUAAUGGCUCACCAAGGCGACGACGGGUAGCCGGCCUGAGAGGGUGACCGGCCACACUGGGACUGAGACACGGCCCAGACUCCUACGGGAGGCAGCAGUGGGGAAUAUUGCACAAUGGGCGAAAGCCUGAUGCAGCGACGCCGCGUGAGGGAUGACGGCCUUCGGGUUGUAAACCUCUUUCAGUAGGGAAGAAGCGAAAGUGACGGUACCUGCAGAAGAAGCACCGGCUAACUACGUG